AGCUUAGGACGUGACGUCGUGAUUAGUCCGCAGAAAAAAAAAAUGGCGUUUCUCUCUGCCAAGUUCAUCCUCUAUCGCCAUUUUCAGCGAGUCAACCACAGAUGGAUCAUCACGUUCCUUUCUUUCGAUUCCUUCCUUGAGGUUCCGGUUCGGUCCCGCCGCUUCACACAUUUGUGCUCCGGAGAUCGAUUAGUCGACGUUCGCCGUAUCCAAAACGGUGUCAGAAGAUGAGCUUUGGGAUGCAGCUUGUCUUCAAUGAGCUCAACCCUUCUGCUUACAGUAUCCAAUUUCAUUAGGAUCAUAGAAGAUACUUGGCAGAGCGUGAGUUUGAGGCGCUCAAGGAGAGAACUUCAGGAAAGAGGGAAGGGUUUACUCGGGUCGCCUGCAUAAAUGCUACCCUUCCAUUGUCGCAACUAUCAAGCUCUUCUGAGGAUUUAUGCUCUGCAUGUAAGGUCUGUCUGUUCAAUUGCUCAUCUUGUGUGUUAACUGUGCAUCUCGGUGGAGUUAGUGUAAUAUACUUCUCGUGGGAGUGAGUUUUAAGAAGGUUGCUUGCAUAAAAUGGAUUUCUGUUUUAUAUGCUUCA